rnacentral:rRNA from 1 species
UACGGGGGGGGCAAGCGUUGUUCGGAAUUACUGGGCGUAAAGGGCUCGUAGGUGGCCAACUAAGUCAGACGUGAAAUCCCUCAGCUUAACUGGGGAACUGCGUCUGAUACUGGAUGGCUUGGAUUUGGGAGAGGGAUGCGGAAUUCCAGGUGUAGCGGUGAAAUGCGUAGAUAUCUGGAGGAACACCGGUGGCGAAGGCGGGUCUCUGGGCCGAUACUGACGCUGAGGAGCGAAAGCGUGGGGAGCGAACAGG